rnacentral:tRNA from 1 species
CUGGCAUUAGUAUAAUGGAUAAUACAGGGGAUUUCUACUCCCUAGAUGUGGGUUCGAUUCCUGCAUGCCGGACCA